GGAAGCGUGGCCGAGAGGUCUAAGGCAGGAGUCUUGAAAACUUCAGGGCGGGCAACCGUUCCGUGGGUUCGAAUCCCACCGCUUCCGCCA
rnacentral:tRNA from 1 species